GAUGAAGAACGUAGCGAAAUGCGAUAAGUAAUGUGAAUUGCAGAAUUCAGUGAAUCAUCGAAUCUUUGAACGCACAUUGCGCCCGCCAGCAUUCUGGCGGGCAUGCCUGUUCGAGCGUCAUUUCAACCCUCGAGCCCCCCCGGGGGCCUCGGUGUUGGGGGACGGCACACCAGCCGCCCCAGAAAUGCAGUGGCGACCCCGCCGCAGCCUCCCCUGCGUAGUAGCACACACCUCGCACCGGAGCGCGGAGGCGGUCACGCCGUAAAACGCCCAACUUUCUUAGAGUUGACCUCGGAUCAGGUAGGAAUACCCGCUGAACUUAAGCAUAUCAAUAAGCGGAGGA
rnacentral:misc_RNA from 1 species